rnacentral:rRNA from 1 species
UCAAGAAACUUCCACAAUGGGCGAAAGCCUGAUGGAGCGACGUCGCGUGAUGGACGAAGUGCUUCGGCAUGUAAACAUCUUUUAUGUGGGAUGAAAUUAUUGACAGUACCACAUGAAUAAGGGGCUCCUAACUCUGUGCCAGCAGGAGCGGUAAUACAGAGGCCCCAAGCGUUAUCCGGAAUCACUGGGCGUAAAGGGUGUCGAGGCGGUUGUAUUAGUCGUUCGUAAAAUCUACGAGCUUAACUUGUAGGCGGCGAACGAAACGGUACGACUUGAGGUUUGGAGAGGUGCGUGGAACUCACGGUGUAGGGGUGAAAUCCGUUGAUAUCGUGGGGAACACCAAAGGCGAAGGCAGCGCACUGGCCAAAAUCUGACGCUCACACACGAAAGCUAGGGUAGCGAAGAGGAUUAGAUACCCCCGUAGUCCCUG